GGAUGCCUUUGCCGUCCGUAGCCUGAGAUUUCAGAUUUGCAGCAAAAAAAAUUGAUUUUCUCAUUUAUUGGAAUGCUAUGCAGGUUGUACCUUGCAGCCAUCCAUUACAAUGUCACCAAGCCGUAACAAAAGCAGGAGAGGGAAAGUACAAGGCUAUGUUCCCAAAACACAAAUGACAUACCUUAUGUGGAUGAUGUGAUCAGGCUUGUGUUUG